CGGAGGGUGCAAGCGUUGUCCGGAUUUAUUGGGUUUAAAGGGUGCGUAGGCGGUUUAUUAAGUCAGUGGUGAAAGACGGUCGCUCAACGAUUGCAGUGCCAUUGAUACUGGUAGACUUGAGUAUGAUUGAGGUAGCUGGAAUGGAUAGUGUAGCGGUGAAAUGCAUAGAUAUUAUCCAGAACACCAAUUGCGUAGGCAAGUUACUAAGUCAUAACUGACGCUGAGGCACGAAAGUGUGGGUAUCAAACAGGAUUAGAUACCCUGGUAGUCCACACUGUAAACGAUGAUAACUAACUGUUGGCCUUUGGGUCAGUGGUACAGAGAAAUCGUUAAGUUAUACCACCUGGGGAGUACGCCGGCAACGGUG
rnacentral:rRNA from 1 species